rnacentral:rRNA from 1 species
UGGGGAAUAUUGCACAAUGGGCGAAAGCCUGAUGCAGCGACGCCGCGUGAGGGAUGACGGCCUUCGGGUUGUAAACCUCUUUCAGCAGGGACGAAGCGCAAGUGACGGUACCUGCAGAAGAAGCACCGGCUAACUACGUGCCAGCAGCCGCGGUAAUACGUAGGGUGCAAGCGUUGUCCGGAAUUACUGGGCGUAAAGAGUUCGUAGGCGGUUUGUCGCGUCGUUUGUGAAAACCAGCAGCUCAACUGCUGGCUUGCAGGCGAUACGGGCCGACUUGAUUACUGCAGGGGAGGCUGGAAUUCCUGGUGUAGCGGUGAAAUGCGCAGAUAUCAGGAUGAACACCGGUGGCGAAGGCGGGUCUCUGGGCAGUAACUGACGCUGAGGAACGAAAGCGUGGGUAGCGAACAGG